UCUUCUAAUACAAGGGAAAAAGGGCUUGAAAAUGACACUGCACCAAUACCCAAAGUGUAUGAAACGCAUGAUUGGCCUGCAAGGGACUGUGACAAAAAUUUUGUCUCAGGAACAGUGGCCUUAUUAAGUUCACCCUUGUCUAAGCAAAAUAUACAGAGCUUUUUCUGUUUUUUUCCAUCCCAUUCUCUCACUUACAUGAGCCACACCCACUUCUCUAAAUGGAGUGGUUGCAAUCCCUCCUCUCUCCAUUGAAGAAGCUAUGGUUUCGUUUGCAUUCAACUCCUAAAAAGAGAAGAGGGAUAUACAUUCUAUAUGAGGAUGUGAAAUCAUGCCCUUGUGAAGAUGUUCAAGUCCUAUGGUCAAUACUAGUGGAAUCCACUGCACCUUCCAUUCAAUCAAAACAAUGAAGAUUUAGUACAAGAUCACUGAAAUUAAUGGGAGAGGUCCAGUCAAUGUCAUGUACAUAAAAUAUUUAUGAUGUUUUAUUAUAUUCUCUGGUGAAAAAAAGGCAUUUUUUGUUUUCUACUUUUGCCUUUUAAGUUUCUUGUCAUCUCAGUUACAUACUAUAUUAAUUACAAAAUCAAUUUCCUUGUUUCAA